AUUGAACGCUGGCGGCAUGCCUUACACAUGCAAGUCGAACGGCAGCACGGGGGCAACCCUGGUGGCGAGUGGCGAACGGGUGAGUAAUAUAUCGGAACGUGCCCUAGAGUGGGGGAUAACUGAGAGAAAUCUUAGCUAAUACCGCAUAACACUUACGAGUCAAAGCAGCAAUGCGCUUGGAGAGGAGUUCGCGGCCGAUUAGUUAGUUGGCGGGGUAAUGGCCCACCAAGACGAUGAUCGGUAUCCGGCCUGAGAGGGCGCACGGACACACUGGAACUGAAACACGGUCCAGACUCCUACGGGAGGCAGCAGUGGGGAAUUUUGCGCAAUGGGGGAAACCCUGACGCAGCAACGCCGCGUGGAGGAUGAAGUAUCUCGGUACGUAAACUCCUUUCGAUGGGGAAGAUAAUGACGGUACCCAUAGAAGAAGCCCCGGCUAACUUCGUGCCAGCAGCCGCGGUAAUACGAGGGGGGUAAGCGUUGUUCGGAUUUAUUGGGCGUAAAGGGUGCGUAGGCGGUUUGGCAAGUCUUGUGUGAAAUCUAUGGGCUCAACCCAUAGCCUGCACGAGAAACUACCGGGCUUGAGUAUUGGAGAGGUGAGUGGAAUUUCCGGUGUAGCGGUGAAAUGCGUAGAUAUCGGAAGGAACACCUGUGGCGAAAGCGGCUCACUGGACAAUAACUGACGCUGAUGCACGAAAGCUAGGGGAGCAAACAGGAUUAGAUACCCUGGUAGUCCUAGCCCUAAACGAUGAUUGCUUGGUGUGGCAGGCACCCAAUCCUGCCGUGCCGAAGCUAACGCGAUAAGCAAUCCGCCUGGGGAGUACGGUCGCAAGACUG
rnacentral:rRNA from 1 species